rnacentral:rRNA from 1 species
AGUGAACGCUGGCGGUAGGCCUAACACAUGCAAGUCGAACGGCAGCACAGUAAGAGCUUGCUCUUACGGGUGGCGAGUGGCGGACGGGUGAGGAAUACAUCGGAAUCUACUUUUUCGUGGGGGAUAACGUAGGGAAACUUACGCUAAUACCGCAUACGACCUACGGGUGAAAGCAGGGGAUCUACGGACCUUGCGCGAUUGAAUGAGCCGAUGUCGGAUUAGCUAGUUGGCGGGGGAAAGGCCCACCAAGGCGACGAUCCGUAGCUGGUCUGAGAGGAUGAUCAGCCACACUGGAACUGAGACACGGUCCAGACUCCUACGGGAGGCAGCAGUGGGGAAUAUUGGACAAUGGGCGCAAGCCUGAUCCAGCCAUACCGCGUGGGUGAAGAAGGCCUUCGGGUUGUAAAGCCCUUUUGUUGGGAAAGAAAAGCAGCAGGUUAAUACCCCGCUGUUCUGACGGUACCCAAAGAAUAAGCACCGGCUAACUUCGUG